AGAGGGUGCGAGCGUUAAUCGGAAUUACUGGGCGUAAAGCGCACGUAGGUGGAUGCUUAAGUUGGAUGUGAAAGGCCUGGGCUUAACCUGGGAGUGCCAUCCAAAACUGGGGAUCUGGAGUAGAGUAGAGGGAAGUGGAAUUUCCGGUGUAGCGGUGAAAUGCGUAGAUAUCGGAAGGAACACCCGUGGCGAAGGCGACUUCCUGGACUCAUACUGACACUGAGGUGCGAAAGCGUGGGUAGCGAACAGGGAUUAGAUACCCUGGUAGUCCACGCCGUAAACGAUGAGAACUAGCCCGUUGGGGAUGAAAGUCCUGAGUGGCGCAGCAAACGCGAGAAGUUCUCCGCCUGGGGAUACGGCCGCAAGGUUA
rnacentral:rRNA from 1 species